rnacentral:lncRNA from 1 species
AAUGAAACAAAGGGGCUCCAAGUGACAGGGCCAAGGCUAUGGAGUGACAUUUCACCCUUACCCUACGGCCCCACAUUGCUCCUCAGCCAUCUGAGCCCCCAAAGAAAUGGUGACAGUACCCCUGUCACCCAUGGAAGACUAGAGAGGCACCUUGCUUAUUCAGAGCAUGAUUGCCCCAGACCAGAAAGAAGUGGAAGAAACAGACCCUCCAAAGAAGAUGAGAAGAAAGAAGGGGGCCCGCGGAGAGUGCAGUCUGCUGAUGUCCUGAUGAUAUCAGCAGCAGAGAGAGCAUUGUCACAGUGAACAGUCUUGGUUCCCAGUGUGAAGACACAGGACGAGUCUGGAGUGCAUUAGAGAAGCCAGGAGAAGUCGCUCCUUGUGAUGCUGAAGUCAGGGAAGAAGUGAAGACCGUGGGUGGAAAUGAGAAGCAUUCAACCAUAAAUUAACGUAAACCCGGGGUCAUCCCACAUACAGCCCUGGCAAUAAGGGAAUUCACAAUGUAGAAGAAGAAGUGUGUCAGGCAUUAAACACCAGGUCAGGCUGCAGAGAAAUCCAGACACCAGGAAAAUUUCUCAUGGGAAAUCUACUGUCUGCCCUCCACAGGGUGUGAGUCUUGGCCUUCAGAACAAGCUAUCACGGUUGUGGUGACCUUUGGUGUUCUCUAAGCUAUCUGAGGUCACAGGUUCAAUGUUACCUUUGGGUUUCUACAUGCAGGUGACUACAAUGAGCCUCUGGAGCCGCCUUCUCUUCAGGAAGUAGCAAAUGGAAGACCCUUCCCCAGUAAAGAUGUCUUUGAACUUAUGAAUAAAUCGAUUGCCACAUCUUCCCUGAAGCCUGGGACUCUAAGUUGACUUUGCCACUCGCUUCUAAAGCUUGCACCCAAGAGAGGGAAACUAACAAACUUCACUCCUUUGCUUACUUCACGGCUGAACAAUAAAUAUUUGGGCAAGCCCUGGGAACUCUGGAAAGAGAAACAACUCAGCUCUCCUCCAUGAGUCUCACCUGUCUCUCAGAUCAAAGUAUCACAGACACAGAGAGAGGGACCCUUCUCUCUAGGGACCUGUUCACAUGCCUCUCUCCACAGCACAUGGAGGCUUUGCUUCUGAGAGCUUGGGUGGCCAGGUGAGCAGCUGCUGUUCAGCACCUCUAUGAAGACACAGUGGCUGGAACUCUGAUAGCAGGAGCUUAAGGAGACAGAUUAAGGACCUUUUUGCAGGAGCUGGCUGCUUGCGAGUUUUCCUUACUUCUUGUCCCCCCUUUUUUAUCCCUCGUGCUUUCGAGUAUUUGGUGGUGAUCGUGAAAAUUGGCACUCAUUUACAGAAAUGCCCCUUGGGGACUUCAGGUAUUGCAACUGGAUAAAACAUAUAUUGGCUUCAGAAUGGAGAGGAAAGCCCUUUAUUCAGUACACAUAGAUGGGUAAACGCUAGCAUGUAUCCGAUGCCUUAAACCAUGUUUGUUCUCAGUCCCUGGGAUGCCAGUGUUCAAACUUCGGAUGUAAUUAGGACGCUGUGCAAGGAUGUGUUUUCAAGGAUGCUAACUAUAGCUGCUCUGUCUGACUGUUAAACUGAGAAACUGUCUAGAUGUUCAAUAACUGGGAUUGAUCGAAUGAAUGAAGGCACAGAAAUAUAAUAAAGCACAUAUAAUUGUAAAA